GACGAACGCUGGCGGCGUGCUUAACACAUGCAAGUCGAGCGGAGCGGCGAACGGGUGAGUAACGCGUGAGUAACUGCCCCCCUCUCUGGGUUAACAGCUGGAAACGGUUGCUAAUACCGGAUAGUGGGGGAUGACUCGGGUCCUAUCGGCUUGUUGGUGGGGUAGUGGCCUACCAAGGCGACGACGGGUAGCCGGCCUGAGCGGGCGACCGGCCGCAUUGGGCUGAGGUACGGCCCAAACUGCUACGGGGGGCAGCAGUGGGGAAUAUUGCACAAUGGGGGAAGCGCGGAUGCAGCAAGGCGCGGGCGGGAAGACGGGCUUCGGGUUGUAAACCGCUUUCGGCCAUGACGCGGGAGUAGCAGAAGAAGCACCGGCUAACUACGUGCCAGCAGCCGCGGUAAUUC
rnacentral:rRNA from 1 species